rnacentral:tRNA from 1 species
GGCAGUGUGGUGUAGUGGUUUGAGUGUUGGACUAUGAUUCUGCAAACCAGGGUUUCAAUCCCUGCUCAGCCA